UACGUAGGGUGCGAGCGUUGUCCGGAAUUAUUGGCGUAAAGAGCUCGUAGGCGGUGUGUCACGUCGGCCGUGAAAACCUGCAGCUUAACUGUGGGCGUGCGGUCGAUACGGGCAUCACUGGGAGUUCGGCAGGGGGAGACUGGAAGUUCCUAGUGGUAGCGGUGGAAUGCGCAGAUAUCAGGAGGAACACCGAUGGCGAAGGCAGCUCGCUGGGGACGGUACUGACGCUGAGGCGCGAAAGCGUGGGGAGCGAACAGG
rnacentral:rRNA from 1 species